rnacentral:rRNA from 1 species
UACGAAGGGGGCUAGCGUUGCUCGGAAUCACUGGGCGUAAAGGGUGCGUAGGCGGGUCUUUAAGUCAGGGGUGAAAUCCUGGAGCUCAACUCCAGAACUGCCUUUGAUACUGAAGAUCUUGAGUUCGGGAGAGGUGAGUGGAACUGCGAGUGUAGAGGUGAAAUUCGUAGAUAUUCGCAAGAACACCAGUGGCGAAGGCGGCCAACUGGUCCGGUACUGACGCUGAGGUGCGAAAGCGUGGGGAGCGAACAGG